UGCCAGCCGCCGCGGUAAUACGGAGGGCACGAGCGUUGUUCGGAAUUAUUGGGCGUAAAGCGCAUGCAGGCGGCUUGGCAAGUCGGAUGUGAAAGCCCGGGGCUCAACCCCGGAAUUGCACUCGAAACUGCCUGGCUAGAGUCUCGGAGAGGAGGGCGGAAUUCCCGGUGUAGAGGUGAAAUUCGUAGAUAUCGGGAGGAACACCAGUGGCGAAGGCGGCCCUCUGGACGAUGACUGACGCUCAGAUGCGAAAGCGUGGGGAGCAAACAGGAUUAGAUA
rnacentral:rRNA from 1 species